rnacentral:rRNA from 1 species
UACAGAGGGUGCAAGCGUUAAUCGGAAUUACUGGGCGUAAAGCGUGCGUAGUCGGUUAUUUAAGUCGGAUGUGAAAUCCCCGGGCUCAACCUGGGAAUUGCAUUCGAUACUGGAUAGCUAGAGUUCGGCAGAGGGAAGUGGAAUUUCGGGUGUAGCGGUGAAAUGCGUAGAUAUCCGAAGGAACAUCAGUGGCGAAAGCGACUUCCUGGACCAGAACUGACGAUCAGGCACGAAAGCGUGAGGAGCAAACAGG